rnacentral:rRNA from 1 species
AGAGUUUGAUCAUGGCUCAGGACGAACGCUGGCGGCGUGCCUAAUACAUGCAAGUAGAACGCUGAAGAGAGGAGCUUGCUCUUCUUGGAUGAGUUGCGAACGGGUGAGUAACGCGUAGGUAACCUGCCUUGUAGCGGGGGAUAACUAUUGGAAACGAUAGCUAAUACCGCAUAACAAUGGAUGACCCAUGUCAUUUAUUUGAAAGGGGCAAAUGCUCCACUACAAGAUGGACCUGCGUUGUAUUAGCUAGUAGGUGAGGUAACGGCUCACCUAGGCGACGAUACAUAGCCGACCUGAGAGGGUGAUCGGCCACACUGGGACUGAGACACGGCCCAGACUCCUACGGGAGGCAGCAGUAGGGAAUCUUUGGCAAUGGGGGCAACCCUGACCGAGCAACGCCGCGUGAGUGAAGAAGGUUUUCGGAUCGUAAAGCUCUGUUGUAAGUCAAGAACGAGUGUGAGAGUGGAAAGUUCACACUGUGACGGUAGCUUACCAGAAAGGGACGGCUAACUACGUGCCAGCAGCCGCGGUAAUACGUAGGUCCCGAGCGUUGUCCGGAUUUAUUGGGCGUAAAGCGAGCGCAGGCGGUUUGAUAAGUCUGAAGUUAAAGGCUGUGGCUCAACCAUAGUUCGCUUUGGAAACUGUCAAACUUGAGUGCAGAAGGGGAGAGUGGAAUUCCAUGUGUAGCGGUGAAAUGCGUAGAUAUAUGGAGGAACACCGGUGGCGAAAGCGGCUCUCUGGUCUGUAACUGACGCUGAGGCUCGAAAGCGUGGGGAGCGAACAGGAUUAGAUACCCUGGUAGUCCACGCCGUAAACGAUGAGUGCUAGGUGUUGGAUCCUUUCCGGGAUUCAGUGCCGCAGCUAACGCAUUAAGCACUCCGCCUGGGGAGUACGACCGCAAGGUUGAAACUCAAAGGAAUUGACGGGGGCCCGCACAAGCGGUGGAGCAUGUGGUUUAAUUCGAAGCAACGCGAAGAACCUUACCAGGUCUUGACAUCCCGAUGCUAUUUCUAGAGAUAGAAAGUUACUUCGGUACAUCGGUGACAGGUGGUGCAUGGUUGUCGUCAGCUCGUGUCGUGAGAUGUUGGGUUAAGUCCCGCAACGAGCGCAACCCCUAUUGUUAGUUGCCAUCAUUCAGUUGGGCACUCUAGCGAGACUGCCGGUAAUAAACCGGAGGAAGGUGGGGAUGACGUCAAAUCAUCAUGCCCCUUAUGACCUGGGCUACACACGUGCUACAAUGGUUGGUACAACGAGUUGCGAGUCGGUGACGGCAAGCUAAUCUCUUAAAGCCAAUCUCAGUUCGGAUUGUAGGCUGCAACUCGCCUACAUGAAGUCGGAAUCGCUAGUAAUCGCGGAUCAGCACGCCGCGGUGAAUACGUUCCCGGGCCUUGUACACACCGCCCGUCACACCAUGAGAGUUUGUAACACCCGAAGUCGGUGAGGUAACCUUUUGGAGCCAGCCGCCUAAGGUGGGAUAGAUGAUUGGGGUGAAGUCGUAACAAGGUA